UAAUACGAACUGUGCGAACGUUAUUCGGAAUCACUGGGCUUAAAGGGUGCGUAGGCGGCUACAAAGGUCAGAUGUGAAAUCCCACGGCUCAACCGUGGAACUGCGUCUGAAACCAUGUAGCUUGAGGAAGUCAGAGGUAAGCGGAACUGAUGGUGGAGCGGUGAAAUGCGUUGAUAUCAUCAGGAACACCGGUGGCGAAAGCGGCUUACUGGGACUUUUCUGACGCUGAGGCACGAAAGCUAGGGGAGCGAACGGGAUUAGAUACCCCGGUAGUCCUAGCUGUAAACGAUCUGUACGAGUCUGUGGGGGCUUCCACACCCUCUCGGACGUAGCGAAAGUGUUAAGUACAGCGCCUGGGGAGUAUGGUCGCAAGGCUG
rnacentral:rRNA from 1 species